CUUGGAAUAAAUUUAUUAUGC
rnacentral:snRNA from 1 species